GACGAACGCUACGGCGUGCUUAACCAAUGCAAGUCGAAGGGAGUGGCGAACGGGUGAGUAACACGUGAGUAACCUGCCCUUUUCUUUGGGAUAAGCCUGGGAAACUGGGUCUAAUACUGGAUGGAUUGGGAUGGGGUCGCGGCUUAUCUGCUUGUUGGUGGGGUGAUGGCUUACCAAGGCGUUGACGGGUAGCCGGCCUGAGAGGGGGGACGGGAACACGGGGACUGAGAAACGGCCCAGAGUAGUACGGGAGGGAGAAGUGGGGUAUAUGGGACAAUGGACGAUAGUCUGAUGCAGCGACGACGUGGGGGGGAUGAAGGCCUUCGGGUUGUAAACUCCUGUCGGCCGCGGAAUGGUAGUGGGUAAAGAAGCGCCGGCUAACUACGUGCCAGCAGCCGCGGUAAUAC
rnacentral:rRNA from 1 species